GUUCCAAACGUUGUUUAGGUGCUGGAUUAAUGCAUCUCGAGUUCUGUGCUGUCCGGAUCUCCAUUCCCUGACCAUAAUUCCCCACAA